UCUUUCAAUGCGAAAUAUUUUCUGUUUAAGAGCGCUGUGCUGACAGUGGCAGCCUGCAAAUUACCAUAAAUGACAUCUAUAACCAUUGAUACUUUUCGCCUUAUCGUCCAGCGUGAUAAAGACAUCGUGUGUUGCCUCGACGCCGAUGAGCGCAACUUCAUUAGUAAGUAAGGUCGUCGAAGAAGCGUAAUAUGCAAAGGUGCCUGGGACUCUUCACUAAUUGCAAAGAACUGGAGACCCGGUGCAAUAAUAAUGCAAAAGGAAUGCGCAUAUAGUAAUAUAUCGCAUUGAUACAGCAAUUGAGACCAGACGAAGGCUGGACCAUUGAUGGAGAUCUUAAACUGGAAAGACGACUUUGUGAGAAAUAAAUCCUACUCAAGUAUGCACAUAUUAAGAAUGCUAUAUUAGACUCCAAUAAAUGUCAUCGCCUAGAAUUUAACAAUAGAAUCCUAUAUGCUUGUCUGUAUGUGUAUGUGUGUUCAAAUAAAUUAUAUAUAAAUGUA